rnacentral:tRNA from 1 species
GCAUUUUUAGCUCAGUUGGAUAGAGCAACAGUUUUCUAAACUGUCGGUCAUGGGUUCAAUUCCCGUAAAAUGUA